CUCCAGUGUUUGGCUGCGACUCUACGUCUGCUACGAUAAGGAGCUUCACAAAUUCUAAAAGCAAUCGCAUUGAAACAGAUAGCAUCACCUUUCUCGAGAAUUUUUACGAUAUAUUGGCAAAUUUCUGAUUUGAACAAGCUCUUCACUCCUCUCGACACAGGUACGUAACAUGUAAAGAACUAAAGCAAGCAUAAUUUUGUCCACACGAUCGUCGUAUAUGAAGUCUUAUUUUUAAAACGAAGGUAAUUUUACGUAAGUUAACCGAGAUUUUGUAUUUACAUUUCUAACUUAGCGAAUUUGAUACCAAAGCAUUGCGUAGUAUGAAGUAUGACUAUAAACAAAUCAAUGUUUAUUUCCAUUCCAAA